AACCUGAGAGUGCUUACCAUAGACUGUGUUCUUCUACUGAUGGUACAGAAAAAGGAGGCAGAGUAAAUCUACCCAUAUACACCACAGCCCAGGCCCUUUGCCUGUAUUGUGAAUGGGGAGACAUGG
ensembl:snoRNA small nucleolar RNA SNORA51